GGGUAGCUCAGUUGGUUAGAGCGUGGAGCUUAGAACGCCUUGGCUGCAGGUUUGAUCCCCGUAAGGGACA